GACGUAGGGCGCGAGCGUUGUCCGGAUUUAUUGGGCGUAAAGGGCGCGUAGGCGGCCUGGUAAGUAGGGGGUGAAAUCCUGCGGCUUAACCGCAGGGCUGCCUUCUAAACUGUCAGGCUGGAGCACAGUAGAGGCAGGUGGAAUUCCCGGUGUAGCGGUGGAAUGCGUAGAGAUCGGGAAGAACAUCAGUGGCGAAGGCGGCCUGCUGGGCUGUUGCUGACGCUGAGGCGCGACAGCGUGGGGAGCAAACAGG
rnacentral:rRNA from 1 species